UACGGAGGGUGCAAGCGUUGUCCGGAUUUAUUGGGUUUAAAGGGUGCGUAGGCGGCUUUUUAAGUCAGUGGUGAAAUUCUGCAGCUCAACUGUAAGGACUGCCAUUGAUACUGGGAAGCUUGAGUACAUACGAGGUAGGCGGAAUUGACGGUGUAGCGGUGAAAUGCAUAGAUAUCGUCAAGAACACCGAUUGCGAAGGCAGCUUACUAGAAUGUAACUGACGCUGAGGCACGAAAGUGCGGGGAUCAAACAGG
rnacentral:rRNA from 1 species